rnacentral:rRNA from 1 species
AUGCACGCUGGCGGCGUGCUUAACCCAUGCAAGUCGCACGAAGCACUUUAUUUGAUUUCCUUCGGGACUGAUUAUUUUGUGACUGAGUGGCGGACGGGUGAGUAACGCGUGGGUAACCUGCCUUGUACAGGGGGAUAACAGUUGGAAACGGCUGCUAAUACCGCAUAAGCGCACAGCAUCGCAUGAUGCAGUGUGAAAAACUCCGGUGGUAUAAGAUGGACCCGCGUUGGAUUAGCUAGUUGGUGAGGUAACGGCCCACCAAGGCGACGAUCCAUAGCCGACCUGAGAGGGUGACCGGCCACAUUGGGACUGAGACACGGCCCAAACUCCUACGGGAGGCAGCAGUGGGGAAUAUUGCACAAUGGGCGAAAGCCUGAUGCAGCGACGCCGCGUGAGCGAAGAAGUAUUUCGGUAUGUAAAGCUCUAUCAGCAGGGAAGAUAAUGACGGUACCUGACUAAGAAGCACCGGCUAAAUACGUG